ensembl:lncRNA
GAUGGAUUGGAUCUCAACGAUGAAUUGAUCUUGAACCGUUCAAAAAUACCUCAGUGAUCUUGAACGCACCCCUUGUCAGACAAAAAUAUUUCUGAUCGGCAAUGAGCGCAAAUCUUUUCCGCAGCGAUACACGGCCACUAACACACACCAACGUUAUUUUUUUUUCUGGAUGAUAAAGGUCGAUUUGUCAGAUAAUAGGUUGAUAACGCUAAUCGAGAUAUGGCAGCAGUCAGCUUCUCCGAGGCACUCUGUCAGCCGUGCGUUUAUCACGAGAAAUUCAAAGGUAAGUCGAGCAUCAUUGACACAUUAUUUAGUUCAUUAAUUGCAUGUGCGAUUUAACUGGUUAUCACACGACGUACAAUGGCGUACUGCUUUGAUUUGAAAUUAGUUAAGUUGCAUUGUACACAGAUUGUCGCGUACAAUAGGGAUUCUUCAAUUCUACACAUUGCAUUCCUAGCUAUCUGUUCUGAUCUAAACGUUGCAACCCUCUUGGGGGGGGAACCUUAUGUGCUGAAACCCCUGUUGUCAGUUGAGCUGAAUGUAAAGAGACCCCUGAUGCCUGUCCACCUGAGUCCAGAGCAGGUGGGGCUGGAGAUGCUGUAUCUCUGUGGACAACUGGACCUUCUCAUCAGGGCACAGGUACACCAGUUCCAGGAGCAGCUGAGACAGGACUGUAGCCCUGAGGAGUCGGCCACUUUCCAGGAGCAAGGAGCAGAGAUUAUUGAUCAGAUGCUCCAAUGCUUAGAACACCUGCCAAAACCUAUGCCGCACCUGGAGGACUAUCUUGACAUGGUGGGUCUGUCGACCAUGUACCCUCGCGUGGAGGUGUUCCUCAUCCAGGGCAGUCCAGUAGACAUGCUGGAGAAACCCCCAAUGGAUGAAUACUUCUCACACAUCGGGAGGCUCAAUCAGCUACUAGUACUUAGUCAGCAGCUAGAGGAGGAUGUAAAACAUCUCGGGAGCCACAAAUACAUCGCCCACCAGCUGUCAGUUAUAUAUCAAGUGCUCAGCUCAUUCCGAGGUAUCCAGCCACUGUCAGUCCUGAAGAAAGAGAUUGAGGCCAACUUCAGACAGAUGAAGACAUCUUUGCUGACGGAGGAGGGCUCCAGGCAGGAGCCUCAGCUCCCAGCACACUACAUCAGCUGGAUAUUGGAGCUGACUCUUAGUAUAACGUCAACAGUCUCCUCGCUACCAGAGGAACUCACUGAAGACCUGAGUCCAGCCAUGACCUUUGUGUCCCAGCUAUGACAUCACACCUGACAUUGAGCCCGUGUUACAUAUUACCAACCCGUGGAGCUGAGGGUCAACAACAUUUAAACAAAUUGUUUUUUAUUAAUGUCCGACAGACCAACCCGGUGAUUCAAGAAUGAUGUUUUGACAUGUCACUGUCAUUUUAUUGAAUAGGGUCCUAAGCUCUCAUUGGUUAAGUGGAUGAAUGUUAAUGAAUGUGUUAUAAAUGUGUUAGGCCAAAUGUCUAAAAAAGAGGUGCUAAAUAAUGUUACUGUAUGAAAUUGCAUUUGAACAAAUUGUUUACAUUGGCCAAUGAAUUAAAUUGAGAGAUAAGCCUAUAGACUGAAAAUCUUCUGAAUUUCAAUAACAGAGAUUGACCACGAGUCAUAGAUUUGAAAGAGUACAGGCUAAUCGGGCAAAAUGGCCACGGAAGUUCAAGGCCGACCGUGGUAGAGCAUACAUUGUUAGCGGAAAACAGGAUAGUGAAUGGAAAAAUGGAAAUCCUCAUGGUCAAUCAUCGUCUGAAUAAAUACACAUUUG